UCAGUCUCCCGCCGCUUUAAAGGCUCACUUGAGAACUCACACCAGAGAACGGCCAUUUACGUGUAAUUUUUGCAACGGCACUUUCACUUACAAAGAUAAUUUAAACAGACACAUCAGAAAGAUCCAUGCAAAAGAAGAAACUCCAUCUUGCUCCGAAUACAUAGAAUAUGUAAUGAUUUUACUCUCUCCAUAAAUUUGUCCGCAAAACAUUUCAAGUAUUCGCAUGAAAUUUAAUUAAAAAUUUCAAGAAAACGCAUCUAAACAACAGAAUCCUUCGAACACAUCAUUUAAUAAAACUUCGUCUGCACUAGGAAAUGCAAAUAAUGACAACAACGACGAUGAAAGAUGCCAAGCACGCGACAAAGACGAUAAUCCUGAAUCGUCUGUAAUAGUAUUUCAAUGUCAUUUAUGUUCCUUCAGCACUCGCUCGAAUGAGAAAUGGAUGGAACAUAAGCAGUGUCAUAUGCAAGAAAUUCCUUCCACUUCAACGCAAUCGCAAGAAAGACAGGAGGAAGAAGUGCAAGCCGCCAACACACUGCUAUUAAUAAGAGAAGAAGGAUUGAGAAGAACAACAUUAGAAAUGUUUGAAGCUGAUAAACUGCCCUUUCAUUCAGAUGAACCUUCCUCUAAACAAUAAUUGUUAAAUAAAUUGAAAAAAAGACAAACUAAUAAGAUUCACCGAAAAAUUUCAAACUACAUUUUCUUUUGACAAAUUAUCGAAAUAAUUUAUAUCACUUGUGCUUAAGAUAAAUGUCUAAAUUAUUGAAAAGU